rnacentral:rRNA from 1 species
GGUAGUCCACGCCGUAAACGAUGUCGACUAGGUGUCGGAGGUAUCGACCCCUCUUGUGCCGCAGCUAACGCACUAAGUAUCCCGCCUGGGGAGUACGGCCGCAAGGUUGAAACUCAAAUGAAUUGACGGGGACCCGCACAAGCGGUGGAGCAUGUGGAUUAAUUCGAUACUAACCGAAGAACCUUACCCAGACUUGACAUCGAUCGCAAAGCCUAGAAAUAGGCUCCUCUCUCACAAGGAGACGUGAAGACACUUGUUGCAUGGCUGUCGUCAGCUCGUGCCGUGAGGUGUACGGUUAAG